rnacentral:sRNA from 1 species
AACUAGCCCCGAUAGAAGCGGCAUCCUUUUUUGUUGCAGACGUAACGAAGUGGAGACUGUGACGAAAAAGAUACAGCGGAUAGCGGGAUUAAGC